rnacentral:lncRNA from 1 species
UGCGUGUUUUUUGAAUAAACUUGGGUCAAUUCAUAGUUGCUCAAGAUGUAGUGCUUACAUUGCCAUAGUUGUUCCACACAUCCUCACUAUCAACCAUAAGAUUGUUAUGGAUCCAAUCCCACCCAAAAUCACUUGUUGACAACAUCUUGCUCACAUCCACAUAGUGUCUAUCAAUAGUCUUGCACCUUGAUAUGACAUUCUCCUUUGUGAU